GACGAACGCUGGCGGCGUGCUUAACACAUGCAAGUCGAACGGAAAGGCCCUGCUUUUGUGGGGUGCUCGAGUGGCGAACGGGUGAUUAACACGUGAGUAACCUGCCCUUGACUUUGGGAUAACUUCAGGAAACUGGGGCUAAUACCGGAUAGGAGCUCCUGCUGCAUGGUGGGGGUUGGAAAGUUUCGGCGGUUGGGGAUGGACUCGCGGCUUAUCAGCUUGUUGGUGGGUAGUGGCUUACCAAGGCUUUGACGGGUAGCCGGCCUGAGAGGGUGACCGGCCACAUUGGGACUGAGAUACGGCCCAGACUCCUACGGGAGGCAGCAGUGGGGAAUAUUGCACAAUGGGCGGAAGCCUGAUGCAGCAACGCCGCGUGCGGGAUGACGGCCUUCGGGUUGUAAACCGCUUUCGCCUGUGACGAAGCGUGAGUGACGGUAAUGGGUAAAGAAGCACCGGCUAACUACGUG
rnacentral:rRNA from 1 species